UUACGCUGUUAUCCCUAAGGUAAUUUAGUCUUAUAAUCACUAAAAAUGGAUCAAAAAUUUAUAAACAAAUAUAAAAAAAUAAAAAGAGUUAUAUUAAUCUUCCCAUCACCCCAACAAAAUUUACAUAAUACUAAACAUAUUAACCCACAAAAAAUAUGAAAUUAAAUUAAACUCUAUAGGGUCUUCUCGUCCCAAAAAAAUAUUCAGGCAUUUUAACCUAAUAUUUAAAUUCAACAAAAUAAAAAUUUAAGAAAGUAAACACCUCGUCAAACCAUUCAUCCCAGCAUUCAAUUAAAAAACUAAUGAUUAUGCUACCUUUGCACAGUCAAAAUACUGCGGCCAUUUAAAAAUCAGUGGGCAGGUAAUACUUCAUAAUAUAUACAAGAAGAGAUGUUUUUGUUAAACAGGAG
rnacentral:rRNA from 1 species